GAGCAGAGCUGCCCCUCGUCUUUCAGCCCAGUUCUCUUGUUUUCUCAGCACCUCAGCGGGACAAGAAAGACAGAGCCUGCCAGAACCAAGACACUGAAAGCUCCUGCAGAGGGCAAGAGGCACUCCAGGAACAUCAUGGGGACACACUGCCUGCCACAUCCUCCCAGGUCCCUGAGCCCCACCACAAGCCAACCUUGGGACCCAAGCCUGCCCAGCCUCUAGAGAUGUGAUACCAACCAAGCGCAGCACUGCCGAUUUGCCAUGUUGUGACCGUUGUCAGUGGACAUCACG
rnacentral:lncRNA from 1 species